rnacentral:lncRNA from 1 species
UCACACCUUGUCAGACACCAGAGAAUCCACACUCACUAGAGACGCCGUGACCACGGUGAAUGUGAGGACUGCCUCCCAUUGAAGUGAACACCUCAUAGCACGCGACACAAUCAGUUCUGGCGCUGACUGUAGGAGAGCCUUGGGAAGGUCCCAUGCAUCUGUUAGACAAUUCCCACUUCGGGGACCAAUUGUAUGAGAAACUGUCACCAAACACCCAGUGAUAUCAGUAUUCUCUUUCAAGUCUGAAAGAAAAUAUCUACUGUCAAUCAACGAACUCGAGCUCCUUGCUGAUGUAUUAAGCAAGAGAAGGAGAUUGGAAAAACCAAAAACAAUAACUUUUAUAGGCAAUAUGAGACUAUGGGGAAGUAGGUUUUGAAUGAUAAUGUAUGUGUCGGGAAGAAAGUCUAAGGUAAUUAGGUGACAUGCGUACGAAGUUACAAAACGUGCUGACGAAUGCAAAAGACCACUUGAUAAAGCAAGUUAGAAAGUUAUAAAAGUUCACGAACCCUUCCCAGUCUCUCCCUUGUCCAUACUUCCACUCAAAAUUUACACAUCAGUUAUAAAGGAUUUCAUGAACUGAUUUCAGAGUAAUACGGCAAGGGAAAGGACCACAAAUAGCAAAAACAAAAAAUACAGCAAAAAACAAAACAACAACAAAAAACAGUUUUUAACAAAACAACUAGGGAAGAUGUUCACUCUCUACUAGAUUAUAAUUAUUUAAAGUUUUUCUUAUUUAAACUCUUUUGAGUGAAUAAACUUUUGGAAACAAAUUGAAACCCAAGACUUGGCAAUUUUCUAUCUGCCUGGUGCUACUGAAAUCAUUGGAAUAAGUCUAGCCUGUUCAAUAUGUGUACAGGUUAUGUGACCAAACUUGUUACUUCUUAAACAAAGAUAUACAGAUUCCCUCAGGCUGGUGAGACGGCCCCACUGAUAGGGGUUUGCUGCCAAGCUUCACAGCUGACUACGAUACCCAGAAUCCACAUGGUGGGUGGAAAGAACCAACUUCUACACUUGUCCUCUGACCUCCAAUGGCACGCCAUGGUAUGCAUGUACACACACACACACACACACACACACACACACACACACUCAAAAUAGGAAAGGUAAAAUUCUAAAAUGCUGGAAAUAAAGUGAAACAUGUUGCUUUAGCGUAAGAAUAUUAAAAAAAAUAAUAAACCCUGCAAACAUGGAAUAGUCUAUUUUCUUUUAGUGUACUGGACUCAGAAGUAUCCAUGUAUGUCUGCAAAGAUCUAUCUAUAAAUGUUCCCAGAUUUGUGGCUUGGUUUGCUCUAAGUGAUAUGUAACAUUAUCAUUAAUGCAGAGGUGGAUCAAUAUGUUUAUUUCUAUGAUAGGACACUAUUCUUUAUUUAAAAGAUACAAAAUUCACAUGUAGUUACAUGGCUGGAUCAUGAUAUUUUGAGAGGAAACCCCAAAAUAUUCAAUUAACCAUGGUAUAAUAUUUGUAAGUUAAUAAAACAGUUCAAAGAACAGUAGUG